UUUGAUGUUUACAGGGAAAAUGAGACAUUCUCAGACAGAAAUGCGCAAGUUGGCAUCAAGAAACAGGAACGGACAUCAUCUACUCUACACAGUAGUCACACGCAACCUCCCGGCCUCGAGGCUUCAGGGACAGUCGAUGACGCUGAUUUGUGCCACGGAAGCAGAUAAAAGAGCAUGUAGCCAGUAAGUCAUAAUGAUAAGCCGCCUCUGGUCAGGCUGACCUGUGGUUGCUCGAGGCAUUGUUACUGUUUUGUUUCUCAUUUUAUUUCUUCUCCCAUUCCUCUUCGGUUUCUCUUGAUGCCAUGCUCAACUUCACAUAUGCGAAAUACCGAAUCAGCUCCGUUGAAGUUCUCAAACGGCGAUGUUCCGAUUUAUGGCGUGGUUUGAAGGACCUGGGCAGACACAUGACGGUUUUAGUUAUACAGCGACGUAUGUAAUGGUGCUCCGAGGUUCCGACUUCCGAUCGUGUUCCCCAAAGGCACUCGAAGCCCGUUAGAAGUUUUAGAGAUGAUCUCCUGUUGGGUGUCCGGAACCUAUGAAUAUGGCCAGAGCCCCAGCAUAACGAAUGCAUAGGUAGUUACCUCUAUAUACGUAGUUGGAGGGCUGGAGAGCGGGCCGACUAUAUAAAACCCACAUGACGG